GAUCAUGGCUCAGGAUGAACGCUGGCGGCGUGCUUAACACAUGCAAGUCGAACGAAGCACUUAAGAUUGACUCUUCGGAUGGUUUCUUUUGUGACUUAGUGGCGGACGGGUGAGUAACGCGUGGGUAACCUGCCUCACACAGGGGGAUAACAGUUAGAAAUGACUGCUAAUACCGCAUAACCCGAUAGGAUCGCAUGAUCCAGACGGAAAAGAUUUAUCGGUGUGAGAUGGACCCGCG
rnacentral:rRNA from 1 species